rnacentral:rRNA from 1 species
UGGGGAAUAUUGGACAAUGGGCGCAAGCCUGAUCCAGCCAUGCCGCGUGAGUGAUGAAGGCCUUAGGGUUGUAAAGCUCUUUCACCCACGACGAUAAUGACGGUAGUGGGAGAAGAAGCCCCGGCUAACUUCGUGCCAGCAGCCGCGGUAAUACGAAGGGGGCUAGCGUUGCUCGGAAUCACUGGGCGUAAAGGGCGCGUAGGCGGACGUUUAAGUCAGGGGUGAAAGCCCGAGGCUCAACCUCGGAAUUGCCCUUGAUACUGGAUGUCUCGAGACCGGAAGAGGUGAGUGGAACUGCGAGUGUAGAGGUGAAAUUCGUAGAUAUUCGCAAGAACACCAGUGGCGAAGGCGGCUCACUGGUCCGGAUCUGACGCUGAGGCGCGAAAGCGUGGGGAGCAAACAGGAUUAGAUACCCUGGUAGUCCACGCCGUAAACGAUGGAUGCUAGCCGUUGGCCAGCUUGCUGGUCCGUGGCGCAGCUAACGCUUUAAGCAUCCCGCCUGGGGAGUACGGCCGCAAGGUUAAAACUCAAAGGAAUUGACGGGGUCAUAGCUGUUUCCUG